rnacentral:lncRNA from 10 species
CAAAAUCUUCAUUUUUCAUAAGAUUCUACAAUGAUUUAUAAUGAACAUUUAGGCUUGAGAACCCUGCUGUAAAAACCCAAACAUGAUGUGUCAGAGUUGUAGAUGUUAAUUUCUGUCAAAUCCGUUUGCUAAUCUUAACUAUUUGCAUAAUCCAUUUAAUAAUAUCCUUUUAUUAUCUUAGAAUCUUUAGGAGAGUGCUAUUAAAUUAUCUUGGCCUAGUCUCAUAAGGACAGAAGAAAAUUAAGCUAUGCAUGUUCAACUGCUUUGGGUCAGAGUGACAAAACUGAGAUAAAUGUUAUUAGAAACCACUAUGGUAAGAAACAGGAGCUUUAAUAGUCGGUGUUAACUGCCAAAACUGCAGGAGUUAAUGAGAUGCUGCAUGGUCAGGACCCAUAGCUAUAUAGAAUAGAAAGCAUCUUAAGAUCAAAGGUAGUUGCACAGACAGAGAUCUGCAUUGACUUGAUACUGUGCUGUAUUAAUCUUGAUAUCUUUGUUCCUUGCACACUGCCAUAGUGCCUGUUGUUGGGACUGGAUAAAUGUUUGUUGAAUUAAGCUGAAAUAUGGUGACUAAAAGCUCUUGACAUGAUAUAUUAUUUCAUAUUUUAUUCAUUUUAUUCUUUAGUGGAAUUAUAUUAAAUCUACAUGUCUGAGUCUUUUACAAAUUGAUUUUUAUUCAACUCUCUGAAGGUUUACACAAUAAGCCUAUGUUCUUAUAAUAAAGCAGCCCUAAAAUAUUACAUUAUUUAUUAUGAUAGAACAAGCUCAAUUGUCCAACAUCUUAUUUCUUCUACAUGUUAACUCCACUUACGUGUUUAAAAUAUCUAACCACUAGGUGUCGUUUAUCCGGAUGCUGCAUGAUUAAGACCACCAUACUCUUAUCAAGCAUACAGGUGUUAAUGUCUAUUUUAAAGAGGAGAGAACUCAAGAAGUUCUGUAGAAACUGCUUUCUUCAUCAUAUCUCAAAGGAUUUGCUGAGGAUUUCAGAGGUGCCACGAGUUGAGAGAAGUGAGCCAAAAAAACUCAUCUGAAGUGUUUGGACAGAUGAAAUCAAUGGCUGCUGAUUAAAUGAGAGGCACACAGACUUCGGACAUUUCACUUAAUGCUGAAAAUUCACUCUACUGCCACUACUCAGGACUUCUGAUGGGCAUGAAAAUCCAAGCCUGCUUUAUGAUAUUAACCUCUGAAUUUCAUAAACCGCUUAAAACUUUAGAAUGUCCAGAAAACACUGGUAGAAUACGGACACAUGAGACAAGGCCAGAAAGGAAGUCAAUAAAAUGUGAUUACUAAGCAAAUUACCACCAGAGAAGCAGAAGGAAAUCCCUCUUCAAUAUUUUGAGAGACAGUAAAGAACAUUCCCUGGAGUUAGGACAAAUGAAGAGCAAGAAGUUUCAUCUUGCUCUGUCAUCCAGGCUGGAGUGCAGGGGCACCAUCUCGGCUCACUGAAACCUCCACUUCCCGGGUUCAAGCGAUUCUCCUGCCUCAGCCUCCUGAGUAACUGGGGUUACAGAGUGAAUAGACAACCUACAGAAUGGGAGAAAAUACUUGCAAGCUAUGUAUCCAACAAAGGACUAAUAUCGAGAAUUUACAAGGAACUCAAACAAAACUCAACAAGAGUAAAACAACCCCAAUAAAAAGGAAAGUGAACACAUUUGGAAAUAUUGGCUCAGCAUUGCAGCUAUACCCUUUAGACAGGAAACACACUUUCCAGUUCUCCUUGACAGAGAGGCUGAAGCUGCUUAUGUGUCUGGAAUUGGUGGGUUCUUGGUCUCACUGACUUCAAGAAUGAAGCCACGGACCCUCGCG